rnacentral:lncRNA from 1 species
GCCUCCAAGUGGCAAGGUGGGACCGGCUCCAUGAGACUCUGCCCCUCUGUAGCAGCUGACACUAGGAAGGGUGGUAUCAGGUCCUGCCGUGAGCACUUUACACACAGUCUCACUUUGUUUUAUCAACAGCACAGUGAGAUGGAAAUCUCCAUGCUCCACGGGACAGUUUUGAUCGGCAACUGUGCCAUGGUGAAAUCUUACCCCACAGGACAUCUGCGUUAUAAAAAAAAAGCUUCAUGCAGUCCUGGUGAUCAGAAAGUUCAGAGACUCCUUGCUCAUGUUACAGAAAAGAAAAUGGACUCCAAAAAUACACCGAAGUCUUGCCUAGGAAAGUUGACUUUAUUACUGAGAAGCCCAAGCCUGUUGCAGGUGGGCCUCUGGUUCCCACGUGUACCACCUGCUACACUUUGGAUCUGGAGAGUGGCCUAAGGCCUGGGUAUUCAAUGCUUGACCCUUGGCCUGUGGCACUAUGGGAAGUGGUGGGCCCUUCAAGAAGUAGGGCUUUCUGGGAGGUCUUUGGGCACUAAGAGUUUGGUAAAAGGGUAUAUGGGGACCCU